GUUCUUUUUUGGUUUUUAAACAUGAUUUGGCUUUCAGGCUGUUGGUAAGAUGUGCCUGGGUCAGACCUUGUUACAACAUGGACACAUUACCCAUCUGAUU
rfam:Dipodomys ordii contig_16179, whole genome shotgun sequence.